GAGGUUUAGGGGGGCAGCUGUCAGUCCCUGAGUGGAGCGUGGGCCCCCUUCUGUCCAGCCCACUCAGGAGGGGCGCCAGCCAUCCCGGGGAAGGGCGGCCGCAGCGUCCAGUGAGUGGACACAAUGCCAGUAGGGCGGCUGGGGAGCUUCACCCGCGCUCAAAUGUCACCUUCAGGUAGUGCGAGUGAGUGAGCGUGAUGAUAACUGCCGAGACAUCGCCUGAGCGAGUGCCUGGCCUGGCCGGCUCCGGGCCUCCAGACACCCCCACCCCAGCCCCGGGUGCUAGGGGAGGGUUGAUGGAGAGGUCACGGGGGAGAUGGCUGGCCUGAUUUAUGGCUCUGUAAUGACAGCACUUAGCAUUCCAGCAGGGCUCUCAUCCCCAGCGCUCGGGCAGGAGGCAAACAGCCCUCGGCACCCUGGGCUCUCAGCUCCGGAAUCCGGGGUGUGGCCUGGAAGUGCAGGGCCCCUGUGGUGGGUGGGGGGUCUCCUCGCACUCUCAGAGUAGGGAGGGGUUUUCAGGAGCUCGUGGGGUGCCCACACGGGCCCUGGGGGCUCACUAUGUCCUGCGGUGGGGGGGCUUGUUCUGGUCCUUGUUUUCACACAGGUCGGCCAAACCCUGGCCGCAGUGUAGGACGAGCGCGGCACAGUUCCGGUGGCCGAGGACCGAGUGGGUGUGUGGCUGCCCCCAGCUCCAGUCAUUCUGCAGCGUGUAUGCUUGUUCCUGGUCACUGUUUGAGGGGGGCUCGGUCAUUUCUCAGCAAGAGGACUGACGGGCAGAGCAAGUGAAGCCGGCCUGGGUCGGCCAUGAUGGUGAUGAAGGCUGGCCACGCCCCCUGGACUUGUGCAGUGCACACGGUGUGGGGGUGGGGUGUGGGCAGCACAGCCCACAGCCUGGGAGACAAGGCAGGGUCAAGGCCUGGCCGAUGCCCCAGAGGCCAGAAUCUGGGUGAGGCCACCGCAGCCGGAGCUGACCGCUGAGGCGAGGGGAGCCCCCACCCUGGGGACCCAGCGUUCACCACCACCAGCUCCGCCUCCCUGGAGCUCGACGACUCUGACCUUGAGACGGUUCAGACAGCAAGCAGCUCCCGGCUCCUGCAGCUGCCCCCGCCUGGAGUGGACCGACCGGCUGAGCUGCCCUCCCAGUCACGGGGUGUGCACCGGAGCCCGCCCAGGAAAGCGCUUCGCUAAGCCCCUGAGCAGGCUCGGCCAGCCGGGACGGCGGGGCACGCCCAGGCCCACACCCGCCGGGCAGACUGGCCCUUCCGGCACCAGGCCGGCCGCCCUCCCUGCCCUGCCGGGGACUCUCUCCCACCCCCGGAAGCUGAGCAGAACACGAGGGGCAGGAAGGGGCAGGGUUCCUAGCAGCAGGCUUCCCAGGGAAACACGCCGGCUUCUGAGUCGAACCUGUGAGGUUGUGGCGGCUCAGGCUCCCGACUCCGGGAGCGGAGGACUUCGGGGCAGGGUCUCCGAGGAUCCCCGGGGGGGGGUGCCAGGUGCCCCCCGGGUCUCAGCCCAUCUCCUGUCUGGGAGGGGCCCGCACCCAGUGCAGGCGUCUCCCGUUCCCAGUGCAGGCGUCUCCCGUUCCCAGUGCAGGCGUCUCCCGUUCCCAGUGGGAGGCUUUGCAUUUUGCAGGCCAACGGGAAGAUGUUUCACUUAGAGGCAGCGACGGCUGAAGCGGCUUUUCUAGGCAUGCACAGGGGUCCGAGAGCCGGAGAACCCACAGCAUCCCAUACAGGCACCAAUUCCUGUCCCGGCUGCUCCUCUUCCGAUCCGGCUCUCUGCUGUGGCCUGGGAAAGCAGUAGAAGAUGGCCCAAGUCCUUGGUCCCCUGCACCCACGUGGGAGACCUGGAAGACGCUCCGGCCGUUGCGGCCAAUUGGGGAGUGAACCAGCGAAUGGAAGACCUCUCUCUGUUUCUCCCUCUCCCUGUCUGUAACUCUGUCUCCCAAAUAAAUAAAUAAAAUCUUUUUAAAAGUAAAAUAAAAAAUACACUUUGCUCA